rnacentral:rRNA from 1 species
ACGGGCGAGUGAAGCGGCAAAAGCUCAAAUUUGAAAUCUGGCCCUUUCAGGGUCCGAGUUGUAAUUUGCAGAGGAUGCUUCGGGUGCGGCCCCGGCCUAAGUUCCUUGGAACAGGACGUCAUAGAGGGUGAGAAUCCCGUCUUUGGUCGUCGGCCCGCGCCCGUGUGAAGCUCCUUCGAAGAGUCGAGUUGUUUGGGAAUGCAGCUCUAAGCGGGUGGUAAAUUUCAUCUAAAGCUAAAUAUUGGCCGGAGACCGAUAGCGCACAAGUAGAGUGAUCGAAAGGUUAAAAGCACCUUGAAAAGGGAGUUAAACAGCACGUGAAAUUGUUGAAAGGGAAGCGCUUGCGGCCAGACUCGGGUGCGGGGUUCAGCGGACGCGUGUCGUCCGUGCACUCCCCGUUUCCCGGGCCAGCAUCAGUUUCGACGGCCGGUCAAAGGCCUCUGGAAUGUGUCGUCUCUCGGGACGUCUUAUAGCCAGAGGUGCAAUGCGGCCUGUUGGGACUGAGGAACGCGCUUCGGCUCGGAUGCUGGCAUAAUGGCCGUAAGCGGCCCGUCUUGAAACACGGACCAAGGAGUCUAACAUCCACGCGAGUGUUCGGGUGUCAAACCCGUGCGCGCAGUGAAAGCGAACGGAGGUGGGAGCCUUAGGGCGCACCAUCGACCGAUCCUGAAGUCUUCGGAUGGAUUUGAGUAGGAGCGUGGCCGUUGGGACCCGAAAGAUGGUGAACUAUGCCUGAAUAGGGUGAAGCCAGAGGAAACUCUGGUGGAGGCUCGCAGCGGUUUCUGACGUGCAAAUCGAUUCGUCAAAUUU